rnacentral:SRP_RNA from 1 species
GCCAGGUGCCGUGACAUGCACCUGUAGUCCCAGCUACUCCAGAGGCUGAGGGAGGCUGAGGCAGGAUUGCUUGAGCCAAGGAUUUCUGGGCUGUAUCCUGACCUGGUGUCCGAACUAAGUUCAGCAUUCAUAUAGUGACCUCCCAAGAGCUGGGGACCAUUUGCUUGUCUAAGGAGGGGUGAACUGGCCCAGGCAGUAAACAGAGCUGGUCAAAACUCCAAUGCUGAUCAGUAGUGGGAUCGCAUCUGUGAACCACUGCACUCCAGCCUGGGCAACAUAGUGAGACCCCAUCUCU